rnacentral:rRNA from 1 species
UACGUAGGGAGCGAGCGUUGUCCGGAAUUACUGGGUGUAAAGGGAGCGUAGGCGGGAAGGCAAGUUGGAUGUGAAAACUGUGGGCUCAACCGACAGACUGCAUUCAAAACUGUUUUUCUUGAGUGAAGUAGAGGCAAGCGGAAUUCCUAGUGUAGCGGUGAAAUGCGUAGAUAUUAGGAGGAACACCAGUGGCGAAGGCGGCUUGCUGGGCUUUUACUGACGCUGAGGCUCGAAAGUGUGGGGAGCAAACAGG